rnacentral:lncRNA from 1 species
CAGGUCAAGGCUUGGGCCCGGGGAUUUCCUUUCAAAGGUGACUUAGAGCCGCUUCAUUAGGGUAGCGCCCUCCCAGGCGGGCCCUAAUGGCGUGUUUGGCAGAGUCAGCGAAACGUAGGUCACUAGGAAUUUGGGCUGCAAAGCCAGCAGAUGUUCUCUCCCAUUUCUGUAAGGCCCUAGCCGCCUCCCAGUCAUUUCCCUAGAACAGUGCUUCUCCAAAACGUGCCUGAAAGCCCUCAACUCCUAUCAGAAAGUAGAGUGCAUAUACUCCUGCAGCAGUAGAGGAUAUAGCCUAUAGCUGCCUGGGGCAAGACCCAAUGAGCUUUGAAGUCUUAGGUCUUAUCCCAAAAGUCUAUGUGGUUUGUGUAUUCUACUCCAUAGGUGUGUCAUG